GGUUGAGCCACCGUACAGGAAAGGUAGGCGUCCUUCUCGGUUGGUUUAUUGCUCUUUUUGGUGCAUUGUAAUGUACUUAGUUGUUGGUUACUGACACCAUUUAACUUAAUUGUAGCCCUGUCCAUCGGCGGCUGGCGUGGGGUCGGCUGCUGUUCUGGGAUGGUGUGCUGAGCUGGGCAAACUCAAGUGUCGCUGGUGAUGUUCUUCCACUUUGUGUCCUGUGUGGUUGACUGCUUGCAUGCCGCUUCGAGAGAACCAGAGGAGGAGAUGGUGCCUUCGACUACACUGAUGCAGUGUCACUAGAGAAGGGGGGCAUCACUGUUCUUUUCCCAACC